UAAAGUUCAUGAUGGAAUUUUGAGUUAUUGAAGCUUAGCUGACUCAAGUGAUAUACCUCACCAUGGGAUCACACAGUUAUAGAGGAUCCAUAAAUUUAUUAAUUUCUUACUAAUUCUAUCAUUCUCACCUGAACAAAAGCUCACGUCUAUACCUGCUGAGCUUAACCUAACUAUGAGUUUCUAAACUUCGAACUAGAUAAAAAAGUUUUGUUUCCAGUGCUUCUGCAUCCUCUAUACACGCUAAGUGUAAGAACUCUAUCAAGCGUUAAAAUGUCACAGUGUGUGUUGCAUCAUGAGAAACGAACCACCUCAGUGUGUCUCGACGAGGCAUAAGACGUGGCAUGAAGAUAUCGAAGGUCCUUGAAGAAGCAAGUCAAAGAAGGGAUAGAUGGGUCGUCCGAAAGCAAUUAGCCUCGAAAAUAUUUCUGGCUUGCGUCCGAGGGCCCUUUACCAACAAUGCGCCAGCGUUUUCGUUGUAUGCAAACUGUCUUCAAGUGACGAAGGGUGUCGAAUGAAGCAGCACGGAGGAUCAAAGAGUGACAGCGACCCAUACGAAGAUCAACCCCAAUACCUAAGCCUUUGGAGGUGUGUAAGGGCGUCCCCAAGAGGACACAGUCCCCCUUUUCACGUCGACAAACGCGGGAUCGUGACUCAGCAGCGAAAUAGAAUCUCCGGAGACUCGUGCUUUUCGCUUUGGAUGGAUCUGCUGCCAACACCUUCACGUGGGAUAUAUGCGAAAAUAGCCGGGAUCUUUCGUAGAUUUAGGGAUCCGGACACGCGUGUAUUCUCAUACGAACCAUGUCGAAUUUCGUUGCUCGGACGCGUAAAUAUUUGGAAUAUUCUGUAACCUGCAGAUCGAUCGGUCCCUGAAGACUUUAAUAUCGUCGAGCGCGUGAAAAAUAUUUUGAAUCUACUUUCUUCCUCAUUAGAACGCAGGUGGCCACCUGUUAAUAUUAGAAAUUUAUUAGCUUUCUUUUGCAAUUGUUGAGAAUUGUGCAUCUUAAUCGCCGAAAUACAAGUAAAGGAAUACUAAGGUUACACUCAGAAUUCAUAUUAAAAUAGUUUUAGAUUUAUUUAAUAAACGAUUCCCAGGAUCUUCGUGGAUACACAUUUGCGCGCGUCUCAGCGCUUCCUUUGAUUCACCAUCUUCUUUACCGCGCUACCAAUGGAACAACAGUUGCAUUCGUCUGUUUUUCGAGACGUUGUGCACACACAUAUUUCCGUACACUCAUAUUCACAUACAUGUGUCACUACUACACGGCUAAUCUAGUCUGGCACACAAAAUAUCUCAAUAUAAUCUCAAUAGGAAUAUUUCAAAAUUGCUCUGCGUUUUCAUCCCUUAAAUAUCUUCACGUACACGUCUAAGAUUUUGUUUAUUGUGAAAAGAGGAAUAAUUUUAUAGAGUGAAGAGUAACUUGUGUGUACGAUAUUCAAUUUCGUCGUGAUAUUACUUUGCAAUGGAAUUGCAAGUCAUUUUGAAAACACCUAAGUUAUUAAAAAAAUACUUUGUUUGAUAUGAAAAGAGUUUGUAGGGCUAUGAACAUUGUAUGAACAUUUUGAUUAUUUACACUAAGGUUACAGCUUCAUGAGGAUGUUUUGAUAGUUUUUGAUAAUCCUGACGUUCCAAGAACAACAAUUAAAUAUGCAAAUAGGAUAAUGCUUGGAAACAUACGAAGGGUUAAAAGUCGAAAUGAUAAAGCGAGGGACAGGGUUUGUAAGAUUCAUGAAGCUGUGGUUAUACGUUUUCUUGUUCGUUUCAAGAAUGAUUCUUGCGUGUAAUUAUACGCGAUUAUAAAUGAGGCACCGUUGCAUUGUAAAUUCUCAGAAGUUGUAAAUUAUCAUGUCAUUGAAUGUAUAAAGAGAUGUAGAUGAACAGCUACUGAUUGUCGAUACAGCGACCGUAAACGUUUUUGAUAAAAACUUAUUCCCCUAAGAUCUAUGUCCAUGGCAAUUCCAUUACUUGUACACAUUCAAGCCAAUC